rnacentral:rRNA from 1 species
GACCAGACUCCUACGGGAGGCAGCAGUGAGGAAUGUUGGUCAAUGGCCGAGAGGCUGAACCAGCCAAGUCGCGUGAGGGAUGACGGUCCUAUGGAUUGUAAACCUCUUUUGUCGGGGAGCAAAAGACGCCACGCGUGGCGUUCCGAGAGUACCCGAAGAAAAAGCAUCGGCUAACUCCGUGCCAGCAGCCGCGGUAAUACGGAGGAUGCGUGCGUUAUCCGGAUUUAUUGGGUUUAAAGGGUGCGCAGGCGGAAUGUCAAGUCAGCGGUAAAAUUUCGGGGCUCAACCCCGUCGUGCCGUUGAAACUGGCGUUCUUGAGUGAGCGAGAAGUAUGCGGAAUGCGUGGUGUAGCGGUGAAAUGCAUAGAUAUCACGCAGAACUCCGAUUGCGAAGGCAGCAUACCGGCGCUCAACUGACGCUCAUACACGAAAGCGUGGGUAUCGAACAGGAUUAGAUACCCGCGUAC